rnacentral:rRNA from 1 species
UACGGAGGGGGCGAGCGUUAUUCGGAAUUAUUGGGCGUAAAGCGCGCGCAGGCGGUCCCGUAAGUCGGACGUGAAAGCCCAGGGCUCAACCUUGGAAGUGCGUCUGAUACUGCGAGACUGGAGUACUGGAGAGGAGAGCGGAAUUCCCGGUGUAGAGGUGAAAUUCGUAGAUAUCGGGAGGAACACCAGUGGCGAAGGCGGCACUCUGGGCCGGUACUGACGCUGAGGAGCGAAAGCGUGGGGAGCGAACAGG